GACGAACGCUGGCGGUAUGCUUAACACAUGCAAGUCGAACGAGAAGUUUUUUAUUGAACCUUCGGGGGAUAUAAGAGACAGACAGUGGCGAACGGGUGAGUAACGCGUGGGCAACCUACCUAUCGGAGCGGGAUAGCCUCGAGAAAUCGGGAGUAAAACCGCAUAACACGGAUAUAUCGCAUGAUGAAUCCGUCAAAACUCCGGUGCCGAUAGAUGGGCCCGCGUCUGAUUAGCUAGUUGGUAAGGUAAGGGCUUACCAAGGCAACGAUCAGUAGCCGGUCUGAGAGGGCGAACGGCCACACUGGAACUGAGACACGGUCCAGACUCCUACGGGAGGCAGCAGUGGGGAAUAUUGCGCAAUGGGGGCAACCCUGACGCAGCAAUACCGCGUGAGUGAAGAAGGUUUUCGGAUCGUAAAGCUCUGUUAAUGGGGAAAGAAAGCAAGU
rnacentral:rRNA from 1 species